rnacentral:rRNA from 1 species
CCAACCUGGUUGAUCCUGCCAGUAGUCAUACACUUGUCUUAAAGAUUAAGCCAUGCAUGUCUAAAUGCUUUGUUUUUAUAACAUUAGAUUGCGGACGGCUCAUUAUAACAGUUAUUGUAUUAUUGAGAUUACUUUAUAGUUGGAUACCCGUGGUAAUUCUAGAGCUAAUACAUGUCACUAAAAAUAUAUUAUUU